CUGUGCACUAGACCCGGGGAGACAGGUGAACCAGCCUCUCAACCUCUCUGGGCACCUCCCUUCCUUCUUUCCAGCUUGUCUGUUCCUUAUCGCAGGAUCCAGGCUAGGGGUGAGGGGCUGGUGAGCAGGGGCCUGGCACCCCCUGAAGGUCUCCUUUCCCCUUAGUAUGAGAAGAUCCUGAAGCUCACGGCUGACGCCAAGUUUGAGUCAGGUGAUGUGAAGGCCACAGUGGCAGUGCUGAGUUUCAUCCUCUCCAGUGCGGCCAAGCACAGUGUCGAUGGCGAAUCCUUGUCCAGUGAACUGCAGCAGCUGGGGCUGCCCAAAGAGCACGCGGCCAGCCUGUGCCGCUGUUAUGAGGAGAAGCAAAGCCCCUUGCAGAAGCACUUGCGGAUCUGCAGCCUACGCAUGAAUAGGUUGGCAGGUGUGGGCUGGCGGGUGGACUACACCCUGAGCUCCAGCCUGCUGCGGUCCGUGGAAGAGCCCAUGGUGCACCUGCGGCUGGAGGUGGCAGCUGCCCCAGGGACCCCAGCCCAGCCUGUUGCCAUGUCCCUCUCAGCAGACAAGUUCC
rnacentral:sRNA from 1 species